rnacentral:rRNA from 1 species
UACGGAGGAUGCGAGCGUUAUCCGGAUUUAUUGGGUUUAAAGCGCGCGUAGGCGGCCUGUUAGGUCGGGGGUCAAAUACCGGGGCUCAACCCCGGUCCGCCCCCGAUACCGGCAGGCUUGAGUCUGGUAGGGGAAGGCGGAAUUCCCAGUGUAGCGGUGGAAUGCGCAGAUAUUGGGAAGAACACCGGCGGCGAAGGCGGCCUUCUGGGCCACGACUGACGCUGAGGCGCGAAAGCUAGGGGAGCGAACAGG